UACGUAGGGGACGAGCGUUGUCCGGAAUUAUUGGGCGUAAAGAGCGUGUAGGCGGCUCUGCAAGUCCUGCGUGAAAUCUCGAGGCUCAACCUCGAGCGGUCGUGGGAAACUGGAGGGCUAGAGUGCGGGAGAGGGAAGUGGAAUUCCAGGUGUAGCGGUGAAAUGCGCAGAUAUCUGGAGGAAUACCGGUGGCGAAGGCGGCAUCCUGGACCGGGAUUGACACUGAGGAGCGAAAGCUAGGGGAGCAAACGGG
rnacentral:rRNA from 1 species